GCAGACACAUUCCAGCCAAUCAGCAGCAGACUCUCCCUCCCAGACCCUCCCUCCUCCUGGACAGCAUCCAUUUUGAAGCUGCAUUCUUAGUGAGCUGUCCAGGAGGUGGGAGGGUCUGGGAGGGAGGGUCUGCUGCUGAUUGGCUGGAAUGUGUCUG